UACGAAGGGGGCUAGCGUUGCUCGGAAUCACUGGGCGUAAAGGGUGCGUAGGCGGGUCUUUAAGUCAGGGGUGAAAUCCUGGAGCUCAACUCCAGAACUGCCUUUGAUACUGAAGAUCUUGAGUCCGGGAGAGGUGAGUGGAACUGCGAGUGUGGAGGUGAAAUUCGUAGAUAUUCGCAAGAACACCAGUGGCGAAGGCGGCUCACUGGCCCGAUACUGACGCUGAGGCACGAAAGCGUGGGGAGCAAACAGG
rnacentral:rRNA from 1 species